CCUACGGGUGGCUGCAGUGGGGAAUAUUGCGCAAUGGGCGAAAGCCUGACGCAGCGACGCCGCGUGAGGGAUGAAGGUCUUCGGAUCGUAAACCUCUGUCAGCAGGGAAGAACGGUCACUGUGCUAAUCAGCAGUGACUUGACGGAACCUGCAAAGGAAGCACCGGAUAACUACGUGCCAGCAGCCGCGGUAAUACGGAGGGUGCGAGCGGUAAUCGGAAGUACUGGGCGUAAAGCGCUCGUAGGCGGUAUGUCAAGUCAAGGGUGAAAUCCCCGCGCUCAACGUGGGAACUGCCUUUGAAACUGGCAAACUGUAGUGUGUGAGAGGAUGGUGGAAUUCCAAGUGUAGGAGUGAAAUCCGUAGAUAUCUGGAGGAACAUCAGUGGCGAAGGCGACUAUCUGGCACAUAACUGACGCUGAGGAGCGAAAGCGUGGGUAGCAAACAGGAUUAGAUACCCCAGUAGUC
rnacentral:rRNA from 1 species